UACGGAGGGUGCAAGCGUUAUCCGGAUUUACUGGGCUUAAAGGGUGUGUAGGCGGGCUUUUAAGUCAGUGGUGAAAUCUCCGGGCUCAACCUGGAAACUGCCAUUGAUACUAUUAGUCUUGAAUAUUGUUGAGGUAGGCGGAAUAAGUCAUGUAGCGGUGAAAUGCAUAGAUAUGACUUAGAACACCAAUUGCGAAGGCAGCUUGCUAAACAAUGAUUGACGCUGAGGCACGAAAGCGUGGGGAUCAAACAGG
rnacentral:rRNA from 1 species